GAUGAACGCUGGCGGCGUGCCUAAUACAUGCAAGUCGAGCGAACGGACGAGAAGCUUGCUUCUCUGAUGUUAGCGGCGGACGGGUGAGUAACACGUGGAUAACCUACCUAUAAGACUGGGAUAACUUCGGGAAACCGUAGCUAAUACCGGAUAAUAUUUUGAACCGCAUGGUUCAAAAGUGAAAGACGGUCUUGCUGUCACUUAUAUAUGGAUCCGCGCUGCAUUAGCUAGUUGGUAAGGUAACGGCUUACCAAGGCAACGAUGCAUAGCCGACCUGAGAGGGUGAUCGGCCACACUGGAACUGAGACACGGUCCAGACUCCUACGGGAGGCAGCAGUAGGGAAUCUUCCGCAAAGGGCGAAAGCCUGACGGAGCAACGCCGCGUGAGUGAUGAAGGUCUUCGGAUCGUAAAACUCUGUUAUUAGGGAAGAACAUAUGUGUAAGUAACUGUGCACAUCUUGACGGUACCUAAUCAGAAAGCCACGGCUAACUACGUG
rnacentral:rRNA from 1 species